GCCUUCGUGGUGUAGUGGUCAGCAUGCUCGACGUGUAUUCGAGAGGUUCGUGGUUCGAGUCCCGGCGAAGGCA
rfam:Stegodyphus mimosarum contig43338, whole genome shotgun sequence.